CACGUAGGGCGCAAGCGUUUGUCCGGAAUUAUUGGGCGUAAAGAGCUCGUAGGCGGUUUGUCGCGUCUGCUGUGAAAACCCGAGGCUCAACCUCGGGCCUGCAGUGGGUACGGGCAGACUAGAGUGCGGUAGGGGAGAUUGGAAUUCCUGGUGUAACGGUGAAAUGUGUUGAUAUCAGGAGGAACACCCAUGGCGAAGGCAGCAGACUGGGCGUUUCCUGACGCUGAGGCGCGAAAGCGUGGGUAGCAAACAGG
rnacentral:rRNA from 1 species